UAUUACAUUGUCUUUAUAUAUGCAUUUGUGUGUUUCCAUCAGGUCUCAGUAAGUUCUUCCAACAUUGGAGUCUGGGAGAGGUGUUUGUUGAUAGAAGUUUGGAGAGACAGAGGAGAAUGAGGUCAGUGCAUUUAUUCUCUGCCUCUCUCCCAUAAAGGUUGGCUUGGCUUGGCUUUCCACCUCAAGAUUAUUCCAUGUACCUAUGAUGCUGUGGUUGGUGCCUUAUGAACCUACUUCCUUGGACAGUUGAAUAAAUGAAGUUUGAUGAUUGACCUAAGAGUAGCCAACUCCAGGUCAGCCUUCAGUUCUUAUGAUGACCAGGUAUGACUGC
rnacentral:lncRNA from 1 species